rnacentral:sRNA from 1 species
GGCCGAGAGGUAAUGCACGUGCAGGUCGAUGCCGCCGGCGGUGAGGAUGCAGCCCUCGCCGGAGAUUGCCUCCGUGGAGGCACCAACCACGAAGUCCACGUUGUCCAUGAGGUCGGGGUUGCCGCCCUUGCCGAUGCCAGCGAUCUUGCCGUCGCGGAUGCCCACGUCCGCCUUGUAGAUGCCGGUGUAGUCAAUGAUGACCGCGCCGGAGAUGAUCAUGUCCACGACCUGCGGGUUCUCGGAGCGCAGCUCCGUGGCGCUCACGCCCAUGCCGUCGCG